CCUUUUAUAUUUUUCAUAAUUAUUCAAAUAGACUGUAAAUCAUGUGUAAAAUAUUGCUACUUUUCAUUACCGAAUGGGCUUAAAUACAAAUUUAAAGCUCAAUAAAAAUUGAACAGGAUGACUCACUUUCAUAAAACAUACUGUAAAGUGUUCAUCUAGGUGUCAGCUAUAAUGCACACCUUUUAUAUUUUUCAUAAUUAUUCAAAUAGACUGUAAAUCAUUUGUAAAAUAUUGUUAUUUUUCAUUACCGAAUGGGCUCAAAUGUAAAAUAUGCCAUAAUUUGAAGCUCAAUAGAAUUUGAACAGAAUGACUCACAUUCAUAAAACAUACUGUAAAGUGUUUAUCUAGGUGUCAGCUAUAAUGCACACCUUUUAUAUUUUUCAUAAUUAUUCAAAUAGACUGUAAAUCAUUUGUAAAAUAUUGUUAUUUUUCAUUACCGAAUGGGCUCAAAUGUAAAAUAUGCCAUAACUUGAAGCUCAAUAGAAUUUGAACCGAAUGACUCACAUUCAUAAAACAUACUGUAAGGUGUUCAUUUAGGUGUCAACUAUAAGCCACACCAUUCAGAUUUUUCAUAAUUAUUCAAAUAAACUGUUAAUCAUAUGUAAACAAUUGCUAUUUUUCAUUACCGAAUGGGCUCAAAUGUAAAAUAUGCCAUAAUUUGAAGCUCAAUAGAAUUUGAACAGAAUGACUCACAUUCAUAAAACAUACUGUAAAGUGUUUAUCUAGGUGUCAGCUAUAAUGCACACCUUUUAUAUUUUUCAUAAUUAUUCAAAUAGACUGUAAAUCAUUUGUAAAAUAUUGUUAUUUUUCAUUACCGAAUGGGCUCAAAUGUAAAAUAUGCCAUAACUUGAAGCUCAAUAGAAUUUGAACAGAAUGACUCACAUUCAUAAAACAUACUGUAAGGUGUUCAUUUAGGUGUCAACUAUAAGCCACACCAUUCAGAUUUUUCAUAAUUAUUCAAAUAAACUGUUAAUCAUAUGUAAACAAUUGCUAUUUUUCAUUACCGAAUGGGCUCAAAUGUAAAAUAUGCCAUAAUUUGAAGCUCAAUAGAAUUUGAACAGAAUGACUCACAUUCAUAAAACAUACUGUAAAGUGUUUAUCUAGGUGUCAGCUAUAAUGCACACCUUUUAUAUUUUUCAUAAUUAUUCAAAUAGACUGUAAAUCAUUUGUAAAAUAUUGUUAUUUUUCAUUACCGAAUGGGCUCAAAUGUAAAAUAUGCCAUAACUUGAAGCUCAAUAGAAUUUGAACAGAAUGACUCACAUUCAUAAAACAUACUGUAAGGUGUUCAUUUAGGUGUCAACUAUAAGCCACACCAUUCAGAUUUUUCAUAAUUAUUCAAAUAAACUGUUAAUCAUAUGUAAACAAUUGCUAUUUUUCAUUACCGAAUGGGCUCAAAUGUAAAAUAUGCCAUAAUUUGAAGCUCAAUAGAAUUUGAACAGAAUGACUCACAUUCAUAAAACAUACUGUAAAGUGUUUAUCUAGGUGUCAGCUAUAAUGCACACCUUUUAUAUUUUUCAUAAUUAUUCAACUAGACUGUAAAUUGUGUGUAAAAUAUUGCUAUUUUUCACUACUGAAUGGACUUAAAGACAAAUUUAAAGCUCAAUAGAAUUUGAAAAGGAUGAUUCACUUUCAUAAAACAUACUGUAAAGUGUUCAUCUAGGUGUCUACUAUAAUGCACAACCAAUUCAAAUUUUUCACAAGUAUUCAAUUAGUUUUAAAUCAUGUGUAAAAUAUUGCUACUUUUCAUUACCAAAUAGGCUCAAACACAAAUUGAAAACUCAAUAGAAUUUCAGCUGAAAAUGUACAAUUAAUAUAUUUCAGAUGUAUUCUUUAAACAACAAUGAAAGAAACAUCAAUGAUGACAACAAUGAUACUUCCAUCAUUUUUAUUGUUCAAUUAUUAUCUUUUCAAUAUUUUCAUAUUUCCCAGGAACAUCCCCAGUCCCUAGACUCCCACAAAUACCUUAACUUUUACAUAAAACAACUGUAAUACAUUAUUUACACAGGAUUUUUUAAUUAUUUGCAUAGGCAGCACUUCCAAUCACUCUUUCGAGCCCUGUUAAACUGGCCCUCUGUCAUUUGAAUGCAUGUCACAUGGAACCACCUCUUGCAUUGAUGACAUUCGAUCUGAAAAAAAAAAGAAAAUAAUAAAAUAUAUAAUCUUUUCAAAUUGAUUAGUAAUAUUAUAUAUAUAUACACACACACACACACACACACACACACACAUACUGUACAUAUACAGUAUAAGCAUUUAUAAAUUCACAGUAAAGCACAGCUUAUGUAUAAGCUUCAAAUUAAUUGCCACAUCAAAUAAUACUUAAGGCAAUAAGCCACAAGAAGCUUUGGUUUACUGUAAAUUUAUAACAGCUAAGGGCUGUGGUUAGGCACGAUGUGAAGAGGAGUGACACACAGAUGUAAACAUAGGUGUAUGUUUGUAGAAUAAUUUACAACAGCUUCAAAAGCGGCUCAAACUAUCAGAAUCAAGGACCGAAACUACCCAUUUUAUAAAUUAAUAUAUUAAAUUAAUUAAAAGCAAACAGUUAUCUAAACGAUGCAAACAACAAACAAAACAAUAGAACAUGGCAUCAAAUGAAAAUUAAAAAUGGCACAGAAAAAAACAUUCCCUAAAGGUCAAAACAAUCCCAGUCCUAAUUAUUAAUUUUAUUUUUACUAUUACUUUUUUAUUAUUAUUUAAAAAAAAUGGUACAAUUGAGCAUCUUAACAAUGUAAUAUGAUAUUUAUUUUAAUUUUCCAUUGUGAAAAAUUCUGAGAAAACAGUAUGUUUUAUGAAAGUGAGUCAUCCUGUUCACUUUUUAUUGAGCUUUAAAUUUGUAUUUAAGCCCAUUCGGUAAUGAAAAGAAGCAAUAUUUUACAUAUGAUUUACAGUCUAUUUGAAUAAUUAUGAAAAAUAUAAAAGGUGUGCAUUAUAGCUGACACCUAGAUGAACACUUUACAGUAUGUUUUAUGAAAGUGAGUCAUUCUGUUCAAAUUCUAUUGAGCUUCAAAUUAUGGCAUAUUUUACAUUUGAGCCCAUUCGGUAAUGAAAAAUAACAAUAUUUUACAAAUGAUUUACAGUCUAUUUGAAUAAUUAUGAAAAAUAUAAAAGGUGUGCAUUAUAGCUGAC